rnacentral:lncRNA from 1 species
GUUUCAACCUCUUCUCACCAGUGGCGUGAUUUGUGGAUAGCCCAGAGGAAAUAUUUCAUUGCGUACAGGAAGCAAAUAAAACCAGAUGCGGAACAGAGCAAACAGCGCACGUGACACCGCUGCAGCAGUUUUCAUUGAGAGCUCCAACAAAAGGCUGUAAAAGAGGUUCAAAGAUUAGUAGUGGGACUGAAAAUUUUGGAUAUGGCAGUUAAAUUUCAAGAGGAAAUCCCUCAGAAGAAACUGGAGAGUAAGAUACUUUCUUCCCCAGUGCAAGAAAGCGGAGCAUACCAAAGUAGUGCAAAAACCUGGAAAGCAUCUCAAUGCUCACCAUUUGGUUUGCCAAAUAAUCUGCAACAUCUUAAGUCUGAGAUGGAAGAGAUCCCAUGCCCUAAACAAGAACACUAUACACCAUACGCUACAACUGCCAAAGAGGGAGAUGACAGCGCCAGAGCUGGUCAGCAAAAUGAAGAUGGUGAAAACGCCAGUACAUCUGAAAAAGAAAGACCAUUGCCAACUCAAGCAAAGAAAGAAGAUGGAAGUGGUUUUAGCAGCAGUCCUAGGAGGAUCGGGGAACGAGUUAAAGGAAAACGGAAUGUCACGAUCACCCCUGUUAGACAUUCCAGGAGUUACAUAAAGAAAGCAGGUGAGAAAAGAGUGGUGGAGAGAAAUUAAACCUUAAUUUUUCUGCGUACAUGUGCAUGGUCAAAACACAGUACGGUGACUUUUUAAUGUAUACACAGUAUUAAUUUCUUGUAUCAUUAUACAUAUCUUUUCAGCGCUCUUUUUCAUGAUGUCAAGUAGUUUUCUCAUCUCUGGUAAGUACUUACAUGUUUAGCCAUUUAUACAAGAAAACCCAGGCAAGAAACAUGAACGUGAACCAACGCUAGACCAGGGUGUUGGUGCUCACCUGCAGCUCUGUGAUCCCUUCUUGUACCCCACAAAUCAUGUGAAAUUCACCAAUACCCUCAUAAGCUCAUAAUGAGAAAUAAAAGCAUAAUUUUAAGAAACUGAAAAAUGGAA